CCUACGGGGGGCAGCAGUGGGGAAUAUUGCGCAAUGGGCGAAAGCCUGACGCAGCGACGCCGCGUGAGGGAUGAAGGUCUUCGGAUCGUAAACCUCUGUCAGCAGGGAAGAACGGUCACUGUGCUAAUCAGCAGUGAAUUGACGGUACCUGCAAAGGAAGCACAGGCUAACUCCGUGCCAGCCGCCGCGGUAAUACGGAGGGUGCGAGCGUUAAUCGGAAUUACUGGGCGUAAGGCGCUCGUAGGCGGUAUGUCAAGUCAAGGGUGAAAUCCCCGCGCUCAACGUGGGAACUGCCUUUGAAACUGGCAGACUGGAGUGUGGGAGAGGAUAGUGGAAUUUCAGGUGUAGGAGUGAAAUCCGUAGAUAUCUGGAAGAACAUCGGUGGCGAAGGCGACUAUCUGGCACAUAACUGACGCUGAGGAGCGAAAGCGUGGGUAGCAAACAGGAUUAGAUACCCGGGUAGUC
rnacentral:rRNA from 1 species